rnacentral:rRNA from 1 species
GAUGAACGCUGGCGGUAUGCUUAACACAUGCAAGUCGUACGAAGAUCUUCGAUCUUAGUGGCGGACGGGUGAGUAACACGUGAGAAUUUGCCUUUAGGAGGGGGAUAACAAUUGGAAACGAAUGCUAAUACCCCAUAUGCUUUUGAGUGAAAUGGAUUUUAUCCGCCUAGAGAGAAGCUCGCGGCUGAUUAGCUUGUUGGUAAGGUAAGAGCUUACCAAGGCGACGAUCAGUAUCUGGUUUGAGAGGACGAUCAGACACACUGGAACUGAGACACGGUCCAGACUCCUACGGGAGGCAGCAGUGGGGAAUUUUCCGCAAUGGGCGAAAGCCUGACGGAGCAAUACCGCGUGAGGGAAGACUGCCUAUGGGUUGUAAACCUCUUUUUCAGGGAGGAAUAAAUGACGUGUACCUGAAGAAUAAGCAUCGGCUAACUCCGUG